rnacentral:lncRNA from 1 species
UUAUACCUGAUUGCAGUUUGUGGAUACAAGAGCUGAUAGUAAUGGUACAUUUUGAUCAUUCUUCUUGAAUCACUAAGUCAUGGAUGUACGCUGAAGUUGAUUCAGUAUUUGACUGUUGAAUCAGUCAUUGUGUUAGACUGCAUUUUUUGGCUCCAAGAGCUGAAAGAAUUAAUACUUUUUGACAACAUCUAGUGGAAUGUUUAGUCAUGGAUGUUCAUCAUAAUUGAUAUUCAUUUGGAUUGUAAUGUUACCAAAUCGAUUUCUUUGUUUUAAUUGAGUUUGGCAAUUGUUUGUACACGUUAUGGUUAUGGUUGAACCAGUUAUCACCAAAGAAUGGUUUAUUAUUGAUUUUACUGCAAAAUGAUACAAGAUCAGAGAAAUAAAUCACACGUACAGCAAUGGACUCUGCGUAGAACACACACCUCUUGAGUUUGUAUAGGAAAUAGAAGCAAACAUUAUCCGAGUCAUAUACACAACAUUUCAGAACAUAAAACAAAAAGUUCAAUAUCAUCUGAAAUAAAAUGAUUUGUGAUUUCUCAUUGAGCUUAAUAAAACUUUAAAAGUAAUGAAUGGAAUUCCAAGUGUGCCAUACAGAAUAGGAAAUAUGCCUUCGUUACAGAAAAUGAAAGCACAAAACAUGAACCAAAGAGAACAUGCAACGUGCAAAAAGAAAUGUAAUGUGUAAAAGAAAUUCUCAUCCUUUCAGUUUAUAGUUAUUGAAGACAGAUCCAAGUGAAGUUCAACAUGAGAGUCCCAAAGUUGAUUCAUUGAAGGCCAAAUGAAAUUGAAAAUCUGGAAAAAGGAAGCCUGAUUUCUUGGACUGAAAUUCUAGAUGUCUAGGAAUGAUUUGUUUUUAGCUCUCCUUAUCACGAAAUGCUCUAGAUGAGCUUUUGUGAUCGCCCUGUGUGUGUCCUUUGUUAGCUCACUUGGUCAGAAUGAUUGCAUUGAUAAAAUUUAGAUCAAGUUUGAUGAUGGGUUAUCUGGGGUCAAAAACUAGGUCAU